rnacentral:rRNA from 1 species
AGCGAACGCUGGCGGCAGGCUUAACACAUGCAAGUCGAACGCCCCGCAAGGGGAGUGGCAGACGGGUGAGUAACGCGUGGGAAUCUACCCAGUUCUACGGAACAACUGAGGGAAACUUCAGCUAAUACCGUAUACGCCCUACGGGGGAAAGAUUUAUCGGAAUUGGAUGAGCCCGCGUUGGAUUAGCUAGUUGGUGAGGUAACGGCUCACCAAGGCGACGAUCCAUAGCUGGUCUGAGAGGAUGAACAGCCACACCGGGACUGAGACACGGCCCAGACUCCUACGGGAGGCAGCAGUGGGGAAUAUUGGACAAUGGGCGCAAGCCUGAUCCAGCCAUGCCGCGUGAGUGAUGAAGGCCUUAGGGUUGUAAAGCUCUUUCAGUGGGGACGAUAAUGACGGUACCCACAGAAGAAGCCCCGGCUAACUUCGUGCCAGCCGCCGCGGUAAGAC